AUGCGACUGUCCGCGAAACAGGUAGACAACUGUUAUAACGAGGCAUUAUUGGCAUUUGUUUACUGCCGUUACUAAGGAAUGCAUUUAUAUUUAUCUCACGCAAACGUAACGGUAUUACUUCUGUGUAGGUGUUCGGAAAAAUUGACAAACGCAUAUAUGCGUCCUUAGUCCAUGCCGGACACUUACAGAAAACGCAUAUAUGUGUCCUUAGUCCACACCGAUAGCUUUCGCCAGACGCAUAUAUGCGUCCAUAACACUCUAAGGAUUAAAAUAAAUAAUCGCGACGUAACGGUUUCCAUAGACCGAUUAAAACCCGCGUUUAUAGUUCCGGAUGACCUAGAGAAACAAACCGCCGAUUCUGGUAACGUACUGAUUCCGACGAAAACAGUGCAAGCGACAACGAUCGAACCGCGGAAGAAAACACUAGGAAUAGAUACGUUACGCGGUCUGGUUUCUGGCAGGUUUCGGGUAAUAGUCGUAAAUUGUCGGACAGAGGAUAUAUUGUAUGCGUUCAACCUGUAAAAUGGUGACAAGAAAUAGUGUAAAUAAUUUUUUUACGAAUACGACCUAAGAAUAACGAUAUCGCUGGUAGUGGGGUGUUGUAGCGGCACAUGAGUCAUAAGACGAGGCGGAUCGAGUGCGACUCAUGUUAUUGUUUUGCCUCAGGAUAUUGGCACACCCUUGACACACGAAACCUAAUGAUAAAUAAACUCCGGGCAAUACAAUGUUGCCGCUACGUGCAACCGUCGAACAAAGACGAAUUUGAAUUUUUCGGCUCUGCCACAACCAGUAUAAAUAAACGGACACGAUCGCGAGCGAGACAGUAUAUGCCGAGUAUCUACGAAUUAGCGACCAAUAUCUACGAGAUUGUCCGAGUUAUUAUCCGCGUUAUAGUUAUCGAGUUAUCUGCGAGCGAUUACAAAGUAUCGUCGCGAAUGUAUUGAACGAGCGUCUUUCGACGGUAUUUAUACUUAUAUUUAUUUAAUUUAUUCGAAAUAUAUUUGACGGGUUGCAACAGCAAUCUUUCACUCUUGUUAUUCUAUAAUACCGAUCCUUAACCAUUCCUUUAUAGUAUUAUCGAAGAAUCUUUAGAAAAUGGGGUAACUAUUAAUCAAUUAAUGUAUCAUUUACUUUAACCUUUUCGCUACGGCAGUGUGCUCCGUCGGAGUGACACCGGAAUAACGGUACUGAAGUGCGGAACACUACGACGGAAAGCGUGCAUAUGUUGCGCGUAGGUAAACUGGUGUUCGGACUUCCAUCUUUCGGUGCAGCCUCGUCAUUAUCCGGAUGGUACGAUUCUUUGAGUGUUAUACAACAACAUAUUUGGAGAGUUUGCAAUUAUUAUCAAUAAAAAUAUAUUUAAAAAUUAAAAAUUACACUUUACAAUAACAAAUUGGUAUCUAUGGUCGUCUAUAGGCGACGCUAGUAGCGAAAGGGUUAAUGUCCAGGCCAGUAGCAUUCCUUUUGUGAUAAAUAACAUUUCUACGGUGACAAAAGUGAUGCUAUAAUAUAUUAAAUAUCUUUUCCAUUUCUUCGAUGAAACAUCACAAAUGCUUUCUUCGCUAUCAUUUCUUAUUUCAAAUUCAAAUUCGGUUUUUCGAUGAAUCUUUAUUCACUGGGAUAGGUUAUAGUGAAAUCUUCGACCGAACAUUUUACAUGAAACUUCGACACUCGAAAGGGAUACCUCACAGGUGGGUCUUCGUUUCCGCGUAAGUUACUUUUCUCUUUUAGAAAAAGUAAAUCGAAGAUCCGUUAUUUUUGAAAAUAAUUUUCCUCCAAUCCUAUAUAGCUGUCUAAAUAACAAAGUAUGUUAAGGAUCAUCAUAUUCUGUUGUCUCCACUUUGUAAAGAGAUACACAUUUAUUAAACACUCGUAUUCUAUAAUCACCAGACUUACGAGUAUAUGCACAUUUUAAAAUUAAAAAAAUCAAUAAGUUAGACAUUGUAUAACUCAAAUAGGUAAAAUACUCAAACAUAAUCAGCACAUGGUUUAAGCUUCAAGUUGGAUCUCUAAGAGUACUACCGUCGAAGGAAUCAAAACGACUACCUUUCAUGCUCGUCACCUAUCAUUUUCUCAACAAUUCAGUAGCAGUCAAUGGUGAGCUUGAGGUUUACGGUCAUGGAAAAUGAUCAGGAAUGGGUUUUUCAAUUAGCAAAGUAGAGGUUUGACAAGCAAAUUAAAGCGAAUGUAACAGCUAUGCCGACGUAUCGAGUCACCGGCUUCAAUUGCCGUAUAACGGGUGGUCUUGUAAUACAGAUCGAAAAUGGCAAACUGGAUGACAAACGACUGAUUGGAACGAUGGUACUCUCAGGCCCAGCCCGCGUAUUGCCCGCACCGCGCAGUCUGCGGCAAGCUCGCCAUGGCGCAGCGUCUUAUGCCACCAAAGUCCCACGGUCAGGACCAACGUGUCGUCCACGUAAUACACCAUGCCUGUGUCUGGGAACAUGGGACAGCUAGGCACCGCAACUCCUCGCUCGACGAGCCGCCGCCUAUCUCUAUCUCAGGUAAUCCCGGAUAACGCGAAUAAUGUAUGGAGGCACCUGGAAGAAUUCAGGGGCCUGCAUUAUACCGUCUCAGCAUAUCCCUUGCCCUGUUCGAGCAGGAUCCCAGCGGCGGGUGUGCCGGGUGCUGACAUCCAUGUCACAGCAACCAAGCCAGGUCUCCGUAUCCCAAGACAGGUAUCUUUUCUAGAAUUAAGCAUUAGAUUCAACCAGAAUUAAACGUACGAUAAACAUUUAUUAUUCAAGUUAUAGCACACCAAAAUAAUUUACUUAUAAUUUUCAAUGAGAAUUGAUUCUAAAAUUCUUUCAAAUAAAAAAAAAUGUUAUCUUUUCGAUACAAAUUCAUACAAUCUAACAUGACAUGAUGAUACAUUUUAAACAAAAUUUUGUAUUUCAUCGUGUAUACUAUUACCUUCAUUGUAUAUAAUUUUCACAAAUAGUUUGAUAUGCAAAUUUCAUAACAAUAAAUAAGAAUGAUUGAAACGUAUAACUAGAAACGAAGACAGAGACUAUAAGUGGUAAUAUUGUCAUUAUGAGCAUCGUAAUUGAUAUUACGAUUGAUAUAUAUAAAGAAUAUAUAAAGAAUAAGUUGAUUAAAAUUUUGAACAAAAUACAAAUUUAAUGUUAAUUAUUUUCAUUUUUUAACAUUUAACGCUCCGAUUUUCAAUUGUGAAAAUCGACCGGCAACUCCAACUUAUAAUCAUCAUACUUCGACUUUCAAGUUUUUAGCACUUUACCAACCGACACCCUAUUAAUCGGUUUAUCUUCGCCAACGCUUACCAACCGAUAGCCGAUUAAUCGGUUUAUUGUCGCCGAAGUUUACCGACCGAUAGCCUUGUUAAUUUGCCGCUGGAGGACGCCAUUGCCGCUAGCGCCAACUCUCUGUUAGUCCUGGGCCACAAGACCACCAUCAGCCUCCGUUGCAUUGAAAAAACUUUGUUCCUUUUUUCUUUUUUUCUUUUCUUCUCUUUUCUUUUCAUUUAUUUUAUUUAUGUGUUGGAUCUAUUAUCUAAUUUUCGUGUAGGAAAUUCUCACAGACAACAUCUUAGCACACUGCCCUGCGGGCCGAGGGACACAGGGCGACAGAAGGUAGUACCGAUAGUAAAUAACACAAACAAGGCAAGUUGAAUACUUAGAAUUCCACUUGGACAAAUAAUUUACAUGGAGGCUACAUACUAAAUUAAUUCUAGACAAAAUAUGGAUAAAAAGAAGACAGAUGUACUGGCUAACUAAUCGAAAUUCUAAACUUAGCAUGGAAAAUAAAUCAAAACUCUACAAAACGGUAUUAAAAGCAAUUUGGACAUAUGAAAUAACACUAGGGGGGACAGCAGCGAUGAGACACAUAAAUAAACUAAAGUCGCUACAUCGAAGAUACUGGCAACAAUAGUCAACGCCCUCUGGUAUGUCAGAAACGAGGAUAUACGCAAAGACCUAGAAAUACCAACGGUCGAAGAAGAACUCGGCAGAUACGCAAAAUAUAUAAGGAAAGAACGGAAACACAUCCAAACCAGCUGGCUGAUAAAGCCAGCUUAACUCGCACAGGAAGAACAUUAAAAAGAAAACACCCCAGUGACCUCACUAAAGAAAUAAAAUAGUCAAACUCGAAAAUGGUACUGCGCUGGUAGUAGCCAUCCACAUGUUAUUUAGCUAAAAAUUGUAAAGUACAAAUUAAAUAAUAAACGAAGAAUUCAAAGUUCUAGAUGGUUGGAAAAGUCGACCGGCGCCACUCAUCCAAUUCAACGUCGGAUUUCUUCAACCGAAGCGUCGGUCGACAACGAAGGUCGUACACAGGUUCGUUUGAAGCGCUCUUAAACCCGAAUCAAAUGGACGAUAUUUAUAUCGUCUGUCUGCCAAUCGCACAGUGUACCAGUUGCGAUGUACACACCCGUCGCUUGUAUCAAUACGCACAGAACUUGUAAUAAACAAGCGAAAAUUCUGCUAACGGAUAUGGCAUCGCUCCGGUGCCGUUGGAAAAGGAGAGAAAUAAAUAAAGUUCUCCUGUUUCACAAAAGAAGGAUACAUACAUAUGUAUUUUCUUGUUCUUCCAACCCAUUGCCGUUGCAGUCAUUUGUUGCAAAUUAGAUCGUUUGCAUCGGACCCAAAUCUUGAGGUUAAAAUCUUUUGUUACAAAUUAUUAAUUAGAUCUAUUUAUAACAUAUGCUAAUCCCAUAUGUUAUAAAAUCUCUGCCGGUGCAGUGGAAAACCCAAGGGUAAGCAUUUUGAAAAUAAGUGCAUUAGAAGAGGAAUUAGAACGGCCUUCUCUUACUACAAGAAAUAUAAUAGCAGCAAAAAUAUAUCAUUAAGUGCUUCAUAAUAGAUUUAAUAAUAAUGAUUUAAUUAAGGGAAUUAUUUACCCCUUUAGCCCUUAUAUUUUGAGAGGGCUACGAACAAUGUACAUCUCCUUCAAGAGGCUAAUUAGAAUACUUCCUAUGAUAUACAUUGCCACAUCAUGAAUGAAAUACUUUUCAAUCAGCUGAAACCUCGGCGGGACAGCCAGGUAAGUUCGGUAAAACCCAGAACUCCAGAAGAGGCAUCCUGAGUUCGAAUCCUGGAUCUUUAAGAUAAUUGCACUCAUCUCAUCAAAGGACCGAAGAGGUCGAAGUCCAGUUAAUAGGUUAGUAAUACACUACACGCUAGCGGCCGCCCCUCCCUUGCGUGUAUUGUGUCGGCGUACUUCCUGGAAGUGCGUUAUAUAGAGACUGACGUGUUUUAAACACAUAGGGGUCCUCGGCAAUUAGGAUGUCCACAUUACUGUACUGUCCCGCCCGUGGAGGUUUUAGCCGGUAAGAAUCCGGCACUACCUUCUGCCGCCCACACAAUGGUGUGGUAAGGUGUCUAUGAAGAUUUCCUCCACGAAAAAAAAAAAAAAAAAAAAAAAUUUGUAGCAUAAAAGGAGAGACGUUUAACGCUUCCCUAGACAAGGAUGGAACACAUAUAUAAAUGGAUUCUACCAAAUGUCCAAAUUGGACAAAUUGAGAAUGAAAAGUAUUAAAUAAAAAAAAAAACAUUUUUAAAUGGUAAGGCACUGUGUCCCCUUUCACCGGCACUUUUUUUGUUUUUUUCACCAGAAUUUUCAAUAUCCACAUCAUACCUUUAUGAAUUUUCAUCGUCAUCGUUAAAUAGACCAUAUGUAGCGGGACUUGAAUCAGAGGACAAUUCAAAUCAUGUUGUUGUUUUGCCUCGAAGUAUCAAGACCGUCAGAUUACAAGUAAUGUAAGAAGAAAUAAACUCCGGGCAAAACAAUGUCGCCGCUACGUGCAACCGUCAAACGUAGACGAAUUCGAAUUUUCUCAUUCUCCCCCGAACAAUAUAAAUAAACGGACGCGAUCGAGUAUCGAACGGUAUCAAAGACUAUCAACGAGUAUCAACGAGUAUCUACAGAGUAUCUCCGAGUAUUUAUCGAGUUACGCGACGAACAAUAACGAGUAUUUAUUCCGCGUUUUAUAUUUUUCUACUAACGACUCACAUAUACGGCUGUACAUCUAUUUAAUUACUUAUUUAUUCGAAAUAUAUUUGACAGACUGCGACAGCAAUUAUUCGCUCUCGUUAUU